GGAAGCGGCGAGUCUCCAUGGCGGCGGCGGCGGCGGCGGGGCCGGUGUUCUGGCGGCGGCUGCUGGGCCUCCUGCCGGGCCGCCCCGGCCUGGCCGCGCUCCUGGGGCGCCUGUCCGACCGCCUGGGCAGGAACCGGGACCGCCGGCGCAGGAGGUCACCAUGGCUGCUGUUGGCGCCCCUGCUGUCCCCCACGGUCCCCCAGGUCACCUCCCCACCUUGCUGCCUGUGCCCCGAGGGCAUGCACCGGUUCCAGUGGAUCCGAAACCUGGUUCCGGAGUUUGGGGUGUCCAGUUCACACGUGAGGGUGCUUUCUUCUCCUGCAGAGUUUUUUGAGCUCAUGAAGGGCCAGAUAAGAGUAGCCAAGAGGCGGGUUGUGAUGGCCUCCCUCUACCUGGGGACAGGUCCUUUGGAACAAGAACUGGUGGAUUGCCUGGAAAGCACUCUGGAAAAGUCACUCCAAGCCAAAUUCCCUUCAGACCUCAAGGUCUCCAUUCUCUUGGACUUUACACGGGGCUCAAGAGGGAGGAAGAACUCCCGCACGAUGCUGCUCCCGCUCCUGCGGCGGUUCCCGGAGCGGGUCCGCGUCUCCCUCUUCCACACGCCCCACCUCCGGGGGCUUCUCCGCCUCCUGAUCCCCGAGCGCUUCAACGAGACCAUCGGCCUCCAGCACAUCAAAGUGUACCUCUUUGACAACAGCGUCAUCUUGAGCGGUGCGAACCUGAGCGACUCCUACUUCACCAACCGCCAGGACCGCUACGUGUUCUUGCAGGACUGCCCGGAGAUCGCCGACUUCUUCACGGAGCUGGUGGACGCGGUGGGGGACGUGUCCCUGCAGCUGCAGGGGGACGACACGGUGCAGGUGGUGGAGGGCAUGGUGCAUCCUUACAAAGGUGACCGGGCUGCGUAUUGCAAGGCGGCCAACAAGAGGGUGAUGGACGUGAUCAACUCGGCCAGGGCCCGCCAGCAGAUGCUGCAUGCCCAGACCUUCCACAGCGACUCCCUUUUGACCCAGGAAGAUGCAGCUGCUGCCGGUGAUCGGAGGCCAGCCCCAGACACCUGGAUUUACCCUCUGAUCCAGAUGAAGCCCUUUGAGAUCCAGAUUGACGAGAUCGUCACCGAGACCCUGCUGACAGAGGCCGAGCGAGGGGCCAAGGUCUACCUCACCACCGGCUACUUCAACCUGACCCAGGCCUACAUGGACCUGGUCUUGGGCACGCGGGCUGAGUACCAGAUCCUGCUGGCCUCCCCGGAGGUGAAUGGCUUCUUCGGGGCCAAGGGGGUGGCGGGCGCCAUCCCGGCAGCCUAUGUGCACAUUGAGCAGCAGUUCUACGGCGAAGUGUGCAGCCUGGGGCAGCAGGAGCGCGUGCAGCUGCGGGAGUACUGGCGGAGGGGCUGGACCUUUCAUGCCAAAGGCCUCUGGCUGUACCUGGCAGGGAGCAGCCUGCCCUGUCUCACGCUGAUUGGCUCUCCUAAUUUUGGGUACAGGUCGGUUCACCGGGACCUGGAGGCCCAGAUCGCCAUAGUGACGGAGAGCCGGGCCCUGCAGCAGCAGCUUCACCAGGAGCAAGAGCAGCUCUACCUGAGGUCAGGUGUGGUGUCCGCCGCCACCUUCGAGCAGCCGAGUCGGCAGGUGAAACUGUGGGUGAAGAUGGUGACCCCGCUGAUCAAGAACUUCUUCUAGCAGACAGGCGGCGGCUGGUAACGCAGGCUGGGUCCUGCAGUCAGCGCAGAGGCUGGGCCCACGGCGGCAGCAGGAAUGGCCUUGAUGAAGAUGACGGGCAUGACCGGCGUCAGCUCCUUCAGCCGCGCUUCACUGAUGACCCCGGUCUGCGUGUCCCAGCGAGCGCCUGCGGAGACACGGCUGAGGCGGGGCCCGGGCGCUGCUGGGUCCUGUCUGGGGCAGCUGGGGGCCCCUCCGGGAGCCGGGCCCCACC